rnacentral:rRNA from 1 species
UGCAAGUCGAGCGAAUGGAUUAAGAGCUUGCUCUUAUGAAGUUAGCGGCGGACGGGUGAGUAACACGUGGGUAACCUGCCCAUAAGACUGGGAUAACUCCGGGAAACCGGGGCUAAUACCGGAUAACAUUUUGAACCGCAUGGUUCGAAAUUGAAAGGCGGCUUCGGCUGUCACUUAUGGAUGGACCCGCGUCGCAUUAGCUAGUUGGUGAGGUAACGGCUCACCAAGGCAACGAUGCGUAGCCGACCUGAGAGGGUGAUCGGCCACACUGGGACUGAGACACGGCCCAGACUCCUACGGGAGGCAGCAGUAGGGAAUCUUCCGCAAUGGACGAAAGUCUGACGGAGCAACGCCGCGUGAGUGAUGAAGGCUUUCGGGUCGUAAAACUCUGUUGUUAGGGAAGAACAAGUGCUAGUUGAAUAAGCUGGCACCUUGACGGUACCUAACCAGAAAGCCACGGCUAACUACGUGCCAGCAGCCGCGGUAAUACGUAGGUGGCAAGCGUUAUCCGGAAUUAUUGGGCGUAAAGCGCGCGCAGGUGGUUUCUUAAGUCUGAUGUGAAAGCCCACGGCUCAACCGUGGAGGGUCAUUGGAAACUGGGAGACUUGAGUGCAGAAGAGGAAAGUGGAAUUCCAUGUGUAGCGGUGAAAUGCGU